rnacentral:rRNA from 1 species
AUUGAACGCUGGCGGCAUGCCUUACACAUGCAAGUCGAACGGUAACAGGUCUUCGGAUGCUGACGAGUGGCGAACGGGUGAGUAAUACAUCGGAACGUGCCCGAUCGUGGGGGAUAACGGAGCGAAAGCUUUGCUAAUACCGCAUACGAUCUAUGGAUGAAAGCAGGGGAUCGCAAGGCCUCGCGCGGACGGAGCGGCCGAUGGCAGAUUAGGUAGUUUGUGGGAUAAAAGCUUACCAAGCCGACGAUCUGUAGCUGGUCUGAGAGGAGGAACAGACAACCUGGGACUGAGACACGGCCCAGACUCCUACGGGAGGCAGCAGUGGGGAAUUUUGGACAAUGGGCGCAAGCCUGAUCCGGCCAUGCCGCGUGCAGGAUGAAGGCCUUCGGGUUGUAAACUGCUUUUGUACGGAACGAAAAGACUCUGGUUAAUACCUGGGGUCCAUGACGGUACCGUAAGAAUAAGCACCGGCUAACUACGUGCCAGCCGCCGCAGUAAAAC